rnacentral:rRNA from 1 species
GACAGAGGUCCCGAGCGUUCGGCGGAAUCACUGGGCUUAAAGCGUGUGUAGGCGGAUCGUUAAGUGCCUUGUGAAAUCCCAUGGCUUAACCAUGGAACUGCUGGGCAUACUGGCGAUCUUGAGCCACUUAGGGGCUACCGGAACAAAUGGUGGAGCGGUGAAAUGCGUAGAUAUCAGGAGGAACACCGGUGGCGAAGGCGGGUCUCUGGGCAACAACUGACGCUGAGGAGCGAAAGCGUGGGGAGCGAACAGG